rnacentral:SRP_RNA from 10 species
GCUCGUCAAUCGGGAGGUACUGUACAAGGGGAAGGGGCAGCGCGUAUUCCGCGUGCUGGUGCGCAUGAAGAUCGCGCAGCUCACAGGCGUCGCCGCAGCCGCCGUGCCGAUAGCGACGUA